rnacentral:lncRNA from 1 species
CAAGCGUUUGUUCUGAUGUCCCUGUAUGUAAUUGUUUUGAUAGCAAUUUUCCUGGUUCUCUCUCACUAGCUUGCUAACUACGCAUGUCAAUCACAUUCAGGAACACCAUGGGCCUAAGGGUCAGCCACAUCUCAGGAGAAUGUGAUUCAAAAGAGGACACAAGGCAUAAUAUAGCACUUUCUCCUUCUAGCAUGUAUGUCAGUUGCGUUGCGGCCUCGAAAGUCUGACAAUGUGUAAAGAGAGUGUUGCAUUUUUUUUCCUUCCCCCAGAUGCAGAAAGGAAAGGAUUUAUGAAGUACUCUGACCACAAUUUUAAAGCAAGUGAGAAACCCAACAGUGUAAGAUCCUCUUACUAGAGAACACUCAAUGGUACUGAAAGAGUUCUCCACCUAAACUCUAAAGAACCCGAAGAGAGGUCCAGUUUUUUCCUCCCAAAGAUCCAUCUCCAGAGCUUCACUCCCUAGUCCGUUAGGGAAGCCGGGACGGUGGGAGAGCCACAGAUACUCUUUCUCCUACGGAACCCUUGGACCUCUUGCCCCGUUUCCCUGUCACUUUAGGGAGCAGCACGCAGGAGACUAGAGGCCAGGGUCCAAGCCCGCAGCCGUAGCAGGCCGGACGAAGAAAGCGGGCCGGAAGGGCAGCGUCGCGGUGCUGGAGGCUGUUGCUGGGAGGCGUGGAUUCUGGAAAGCCGCAUCGGGAAGCUGGGUAUAGAGAAGGAUUAACAGAGAUUGCACCCUGGUGACCUUUCCCCUCAGGCACGUGACUCUUGCCCCUUCCAAGUUGUCAUCCUCAUUGUGAAAUUCACCUGGUAGCUGAUACUCAGGAGAGGAAUACUUUGGAAGCCUGAGUCUUCUAGCCAUCACCCUUCUGUUUUUCUCUCAAAGCUCCACUUGGAGCUCAGCUGGAGAAGGAACCCUGUGAAGUCUGGAAUUGGACAUGUCUCUUAUUAACGAAGUAAUUGUGGAGAAAACAGCAUUCUUACCACUAUCAUCCAGGAAAGUAUCCCAAGUCCCUUCCUUGGCAGUAGCAAACUUCCCUUAAUUCCCUUCCCCUUGAGGAGAUGCAGCCAGAAUGAGAGCCUUAAGCAGAGUUUUUGGGUGAAAUGAUAGGCAUGUUCUAGGAAUUGUGACUUAAACUUGGACCUCUUGUGAUUUUUUUUCUUUUCAUCUUAAUUACUGCAUUUCACUCAUUCAUCAUGAAAUAAACUCUUACUGAAGGC